UACGAAGGGUGCAAGCGUUACUCGGAAUUACUGGGCGUAAAGCGUGCGUAGGUGGUUUGUUAAGUCUGUUGUGAAAGCCCCGGGCUCAACCUGGGAAUGGCAAUGGAUACUCGCAAGCUAGAGUGCGGUAGAGGGUAGUGGAAUUCCCGGUGUAGCGGUGAAAUGCGUAGAGAUCGGGAGGAACACCAGUGGCGAAGGCGGCUACCUGGACCAGCACUGACACUGAGGCACGAAGCGUGGGAGCAACAGG
rnacentral:rRNA from 1 species